GCCGACGUAGCUCAAUUCGCAGAGCAGCUGUUUUGUACACAGUCGGUUGCGGGUUCGAGUCCCAUCGUCGGCUCCC
rnacentral:tRNA from 1 species